ACGUAGGGGACAAGCGUUAUCCGGAUUUACUGGGCGUAAAGCGCCCGUAGGCGGCCUGACAAGUUGGACGUGAAAGCUCCUGGCUUAACUGGGAGAGGCCGUUCAAAACUGUCAAGCUAGAGUCUGGAAGAGGAGAGCGGAAUUCCCGGUGUAGUGGUGGAAUGCGUAGAGAUCGGGAGGAACACCAGUGGCGAAAGCGGCUCUCUGGUCCAAAACUGACGCUGAGGGGCGAAAGCGUGGGUAGCAAACAGGA
rnacentral:rRNA from 1 species